UGGGGAAUUUUCCGCAAUGGGCGAAAGCCUGACGGAGCAAUGCCGCGUGGAGGUGGAAGGCCUACGGGUUGUCAACUUCUUUUCUCAGAGAAGAAACAAUGACAGUAUCUGAGGAAUAAGCAUCGUCUAACUCUGUGCCAG
rnacentral:rRNA from 1 species